rnacentral:rRNA from 1 species
UUCCGGUUGAUCCUGCCGGAGGUUACUGCUAUCGGAGUCCGAUUUAGCCAUGCUAGUCCACCAAGCCCUUUGCGGCUUGGGGCGGAUAGCUGAGUAGCACGUGGCCAACCUGCCCUGUGGAUGGGGAUAACCUCGGGAAACUGAGGCUAAUACCCAAUAGGAAAGAGGUACUGGAAAUGUCCUCUUUCUGAAAUGUUCCGACGCCACAGGAUGGGGCCGCGGCUGAUUAGGUCGUUGGUGAGGUAACGGCUCACCAAGCCAGUAAUCAGUAGCAGCCGUGAGAGCGGUAGCUGCCAGUCGUGUUCUGAGACAAGAACACGGGCCCUACGGGGCGCAGCAGGCACGAAACCUCUACAAUGCACGGAAGUGCGAUAGGGGGACUCCGAGUGUGGUCUUCCCACAAGGAAGGCCACUUUUCUGCACUGUAAGAAGGUGCCGGAACAAGGGGUGGGCAAGACGGCUGCCAGCCGCCGCGGUAAUAGCCGCACCCCGAGUGGUGACCAGUAUUAUUGGGCUUAAAGUGUCCGUAGCUUGCCGUGUAAGUCUGCUGUGAAAUCCACGCGCUCAACGUGUGGGCGUGCAGCGGAUACUGCAUGGCUUGGGACCAGACGGGGUCGAGGCUAUUCCAGGGGUAGGAGUGAAAUCCUAAAAUCCCUGGAGGAGCACCUGUGGCGAAAGCGCUCGGCGAGUAUGGAUCCGACGGUGAGGGACGAAAGCCAGGGGAGCAAAGCGGAUUAGAUACCCGCGUAGUCCUGGCUGUAAACAAUGUCUGUUAGAUGUCGGGUAACCUCCGAGGUUACCCGGUGCCGAAGUGAAAACGUUAAACAGACCGCCUGGGAAGUACGGUCGCAAGGCUGAAACUUAAAGGAAUUGACGGGGGAACACCACAACCGGUGGGGGCUGCGGUUUAAUUAGAUCAAACGCAGCGCACCCUACCAGAGCCGACAGCAGAAUGACGGUCAGCUUGAAGAGCUUACCUGACGCGCUGAAAGGAACUGCAUGGCCGCCGUCAGCUCGUGCCGUGAGGUGUCCGGUUAAGUCCGGUAACGAGCGAAACCCGCAUCGCAUGUUGCAACGGAGCCCUUCGGGGCUUCAGCACUCGUGCGAGACCGCUGGCGAUAAACCAAAAGAAGGGCCGGGCCACGGUAGGUCAUUAUGGCCCGAAUGCUCUGGGAUACAC